CCUACGGGAGGCAGCAGUGGGGAAUUUUGGACAAUGGGCGCAAGCCUGAUCCAGCCAUGCCGCGUGCAGGAUGAAGGCCUUCGGGUUGUAAACUGCUUUUGUACGGAACGAAAAGACUCUGGUUAAUACCUGGGGUCCAUGACGGUACCGUAAGAAUAAGCACCGGCUAACUACGUGCCAGCAGCCGCGGUAAUACGUAGGGUGCGAGCGUUAAUCGGAAUUACUGGGCGUAAAGCGUGCGCAGGCGGUUAUAUAAGACAGAUGUGAAAUCCCCGGGCUCAACCUGGGAACUGCAUUUGUGACUGUAUAGCUAGAGUACGGCAGAGGGGGAUGGAAUUCCGCGUGUAGCAGUGAAAUGCGUAGAUAUGCGGAGGAACACCGAUGGCGAAGGCAAUCCCCUGGGCCUGUACUGACGCUCAUGCACGAAAGCGUGGGGAGCAAACAGGAUUAGAUACCCUGGUAGUCCACGCCCUAAACGAUGUCAACUGGUUGUUGGGUCUUCACUGACUCAGUAACGAAGCAACGCGUGAAGUUGACCGCCUGGGGGAGGUACGGCCGCGAGUUAGAACGUACGAAAGAAGUUAGACGGCGUGAGACGUAGACCGACGGACGACGACGAGGGGAGGAGGG
rnacentral:rRNA from 1 species